rnacentral:rRNA from 1 species
UACAGGGGGUGCAAACGUUGCUCGGAAUUAUUGGGCGUAAAGUGCGCGUAGGCGGCCACUUAAGUCGGAUGUGAAAGCCCUUGGCUCAACUGAGGAAGUGCACCCGAAACUGAAUGGCUUGAGUACUAAAGAGGGUCGCGGAAUUCCCGGUGUAGAGGUGAAAUUCGUAGAUAUCGGGAGGAACACCGGUGGCGAAGGCGGCGACCUGGGUAGAUACUGACGCUGAGGCGCGAAAGCGUGGGGAGCAAACAGGG